GACGAACGCUGGCGGCGUGCUUAACACAUGCAAGUCGAGCGGUAAGGCUCCUUCGGGAGUACACGAGCGGCGCACGGGUGAGUAACACGUGAGUAAUCUGCCCUUCACUUCGGGAUAACCACCGGAAACGGUGGCUAAUACCGAAUCCGACCAGUCUUCGCAUGAGGUGCUGGUGGAAAGUCUUUUCGGUGAAGGAUGUGCUCGCGGCCUAUCAGCUUGUUGGUGGGGUAAUGGCCUACCAAGGCUUCGACGGGUAGCCGGGCUGAGAGGGGGCCCGGCCACACUGGGACUGAGACACGGCCAAGACUCCUACGGGAGGCAGCAGUGGGGAAUAGUGGACAAUGGGCGAAAGCCUGAUCCAGCAACGCCGCGUGAGGGAUGACGGCCUUCGGGUUGUAAACCUCUUUCAGUACCGACGAAGCGCCCUGUCGGGUGGUGACGGUAGGUACAGAAGAAGGACCGGCCAACUACGUG
rnacentral:rRNA from 1 species